rnacentral:rRNA from 1 species
UAUUGCUCCCGUUCCACCCUGAACAUGCCCGAUCUCGUCUGAUCUUGGAAGCUAAGCAAGGUCGGGCCUGCUUAUCAGGCUAUAA